rnacentral:rRNA from 1 species
UACGUAGGGUGCGAGCGUUGUCCGGAAUUAUUGGGCGUAAAGAGCUCGUAGGCGGCUUGUCACGUCGGGGGUGAAAGCCCGGGGCUUAACCCCGGGUCUGCAUUCGAUACGGGCAGGCUAGAGUGUGGUAGGGGAGAUCGGAAUUCCUGGUGUAGCGGUGAAAUGCGCAGAUAUCAGGAGGAACACCGGUGGCGAAGGCGGAUCUCUGGGCCAUUACUGACGCUGAGGAGCGAAAGCGUGGGGAGCGAACAGG